rnacentral:rRNA from 1 species
CCUACGGGAGGCAGCAGUGGGGAAUAUUGCACAAUGGGGGAAACCCUGAUGCAGCGACGCCGCGUGAGUGAAGAAGGAAUUCGUUAUGUAAAGCUCUAUCAGCAGGGAAGAAAAUGAAGGUACCUGAGUAAGAAGCCCCGGCUAACUACGUGCCAGGAGCCGCGGUAAUACGGAGGGAGCCAGCGUUAUCCGGAUUUACUGGGUGUAAAGGGGGUGUAGACGGCAGUGCAAGUCUGGAGGUAAAGGCGGGGGUUCAACCCCCGGACUGCUAUGGAAACUGUACGGCUGGAGUGCAGGAGAGGUAAGUGGAAUGCGUAGUGUAGCGGUGAAAUGCGUAGAUAUUAGGAAGAACACCAGUGGCGAAGGCGGCUUACUGGACUGUAACUGACGUUGAGGCACGAAAGCGUGGGGAGCAAACAGGAUUAGAUACCCGUGUAGUC